rnacentral:rRNA from 1 species
UACAGAGGUCCCAAGCGUUGUUCGGAUUCACUGGGCGUAAAGGGUGCGUAGGCGGUCGGGUAAGUCUGAUGUGAAAUCUCACAGCUUAACUGUGAAACUGCAUUGGAUACUAUUCGGCUUGAGAGUUGGAGGGGGGACUGGAAUUCUCGGUGUAGCAGUGAAAUGCGUAGAUAUCAGGAAGAACACCCGUGGCGAAGGCGGCUCUCUGGGACGGUACUGACGCUGAGACGCGAAAGCGUGGGGAGCGAACAGG